rnacentral:tRNA from 1 species
GCCCGGGUGGUGGAACGGAAGACACGGGCGGCUUAAACCCGCCUGCUCCGCAAGGGGCGUGAGGGUUCGACUCCCUCCCCGGGCA